rnacentral:snRNA from 1 species
CUUGCUUUGGCAACACAUACUAAAAUUGCAACAAUACAGAGAAGAUUAGCAUGGCCCUGCACAAAGAUGACACGCAAAUUCGUGAAGUGUUCCAUAUUUUU